rnacentral:rRNA from 1 species
UGCGUAGGCGGUCCGGCAAGUUGGGUGUGAAAGCCCUCGGCUCAACCGAGGAAUUGCGCCCAAAACUGCCGGACUUGAGGGAGACAGAGGCGAGCGGAACUUAGGGUGGAGCGGUGAAAUGCGUUGAUAUCCUAAGGAACACCGGUGGCGAAGGCGGCUCGCUGGGUCUCUUCUGACGCUGAGGCACGAAAGCUAGGGGAGCGAACAGGAUUAGAUACCCUGGUAGUCC